rnacentral:lncRNA from 1 species
GUGCAUUUGGCGGACAGAGCCUCAAGUUUGGAAAGGGCGGGCAGGCCCAUCGGUGCUGCUGUGUGGCUGAUCGGACCGGCCACUCAAUAUUGCACACCUCAUAUGGGAGGUCUCUGCAAUAUGAUACCAGCUGUUUUGUGGAGUAUUUUGCCUUGGACCUCCUGAUGGAGAACAGAGAGUGCCGUGGUGUCAUCGCACUGUGCAUACAGGACGGGUCCAUCUGUCGCAUAAGAGCAAAGAACACUGUUGUUGCCACAGGAGUCAAGGAAACUUUUCUUUUGAGCUAUUGACUGCUUUUAACAAGUUAUUAUACUCCUAUGAACAAAAUUUGGAGCAUAUUUGUUUCUCUCUGCCUGAUUUCUCCUGAAUUUGGAAACUAUUUGUGAGUAUUCUUAACUUAUCGCAAUAUAGUUAUUUGCAUAAGUGCAAUAAUAAUCUGUUUUUAUUUGUAACAGGACACAAUUGAAGAAACUGGUUAUUCUACCAUGGCUUUGACUGGAAUGGUGUGCUUUCCUUUAAGGAAUUAAACUUGUUUUAUGAAGCCAGUAAAAGCCCCUAGGGAAAGCUGGCCAAAUACCCUGUCUACACAGUCCCUGAACAGGGUUCCUGAUCUGUGGUAAAUAAAGAAUGUCACUUUCUGACAGGCCCAGGAGCCCCAAGUUUUACCUCGGGACCUCAAAAGGAGAGGAAUUCAUGCAACUCAUAGGUAUUUGAUGGUACAAAUCCAUGGCAGGGCUCAGCUUUAAACAAGUCUUUUCUGAGAUUCCUUCUAUGGAAUAAAGUUCCAUCAAAGCCAACUUAAAAGCCUGUGUAAAAAAAUAAUUAUUCUUGCUGCACUGUAUACAAAUAAUCAGGCCAAGUAUAAUAAAGGAAAUCAGUCCUACCAUGAUUUGUCUUUAGUAAAAAUGAGAAACUGGAGAGAGAAAAAUAUGUUUUAAAAACUAUAGUACACCUGUUGUUAGAUUCUAGUCUUGCCCAAUGUUUUCCAAUUUUUAUUAUUUUCUACAGUUUGGGCCAAAUUCUAGUUUUUCUUGGCUACAAGUCUUCAAAAUAAUGUUUUCAAUUUUUUCCCUUUCUUUUUUCCAUUUUUCCUAAUUUGGAGUCACUGAAAGCUAAGCUGUGCUUUUUGAAGCCCUGUGAACUGAAGCUAGACAACUUAAACUUCAGAAGAAAAUAACAGCAACCUGUUUACAUAUAUAAGCUACUUUCAUACCUGCCUACUGGUGUAUGGACUUCAGAGUAAUGUGGCCUAUAUAGAUUUUCUAGGAUUGUUAUUUUGUUUGUUGUUUUUCUCCCUUCCUCCACCUAUUUUCUCUUCAUAGGACAUGAGGAUUCUCAACCUGAUAAAAAUGAGCUUUCCUAAUAACUCAAGACCCACCUGCCUAGGAAUAAACCAUCCCAGCUGUGAGAGACCAGACGAAACCUGAGACCAGAGACUCGUUUUCUUCUAAAAUGCUUUCUCCAAAAGAUUUUUAAACAGAAAAGGGGGGAAAUGUGAAAGGAAAAGAAAACUUGAGGCCCCCAAAAUCACUAAGCUAAAAGGAAAAGUCAAGCUGGGAAUGGCUUAGGGCAAACCUGCCUCCCAUUCUAUGCAAAGUCAUCCCUCCAUGCACUGAGAUAAAUGCUUAUCUAAUUGCCUCCUUUGGAGAGGCUCAUCAGAAACUCAAAAUAAUGCAACUAUUUGACUCUCACCUACCUGUGACCUGGAAGAUCCCUCUCUGCUUGAGUUGUCCUGCUUUUCUGGAUGGAACCAAUGUUCAUCUUACAUAUAUUGAUUGAUGUCUCAUGUCUCCCUAAAAUGUAUAAAACCAAGCUGUGCCCUGACCACCUUGGGCACAUGUCGUCAGGACCUCCUGAGGCUGUGCCACAGGCAUGCAGCCUCAACCUUGGCAAAAUAAACUUUCUAAAUUAACUGAGACCAGUCUCAGAUAUUCAGGGUUCACAGUAUCCAAAAAUCCAAUCACAUCGAAACUGCCUUUGCAAAAAUUAUCACAGUGAGAAAAAAACGGCAGUGAAAGAAAGCUGAUCUAGCCAACCUCCCUCUUGCCUUUAGCUUUCAAGCUGCUUUUACUUAUUCCUGGGUUUAAGCCAAGCUACAUGUGGGAGUCAUUUAGUUUAUAGUUUAAAUUAUAAUAACCCUUCCCCCAAACUCAACCACCCUUGUAAUACUAAUGAGAGACCACCAGGCUAGGAGGAGGAGAGGAGCCUAAAUUCUGCUAAGGUGUAGACAAAAACAAUUGUGAGGUGUUAUUCCAGAAGCCACAAGAUAUGCAACUUCCUCAGUUACCCCUGCAGAUAAUAUUACUUUUGUAGAACCUAGGAUUGGCCUUCUGAGAUAUCUUCUCAGGAUUUUGCAUGUCUGAUGACCGAUGGCUCCACCAGGACCAGCCAACGGCUUUUGUGUCCCCACCCAGAAGCGACUCAGAGAAAGAGGACAGCUUCGACACCCUAUGAUUUCAUCUCUGACCCAACCAAUCAGCACUCCCCAUACCCUAGCCUGCUACCUACCAAAUUACCUUUGAAAAAUCCCUAACCUCCAAGCCUUAGAUGAGUUUGAUUUGAGUAAUAACUCUGCCUCCCACAUGGUGUGGCUGGCGUCAUGUCAAUUAACCUCUUUCUUUACUGCAAUGCCAUGGUCUCCAUAAACUGAUUUUGCAUGUGCAGUGGGCAGGAAGAACCCAUCGGGCAGCUACACAUCUUGAAAGAGAAGCUCUUCCUGUGAGGUACAUCAACUGUGGUUAAGAAUCUUACAUACUUAUCAUUUUUUGUUGUUGUGAGAACAUUUAAAAUCUACCCUUUUCUUUUCUUUUUUUUUUUUUGAGAUGGCGUCUCACUCUGUUGCCCAGGCUGGAGUGCAAUGGCAUGAUCUUGGCUCACCACAACCUGCUGGGUUCAAGUGAUUCUCUUGCCUCAGCCUCCUGAGUAGCUGGGAUUACAGGCAUGCACCACUCUUUUAGCAAUUUUAUUUAUUUAUUUAUUUUGUUAUUUUGAAAAAGUAUUUUUAACUUUUACUUUAGAUUAAUGGGGUAUAUGUGCAGGCUUGCUAUAUGGGUAUAUUGUGUGAUGCUGAGGUUUGGGGUAUGAAUGAUCCUGUCAGCCAGAUCGUGAGCAUCGUACACAAGCAAUUUUAAAAUAUACAAAUGGUGUGGUAUGGUGGUACAUGCCUGUAGUCCCAGCUACUCAAGAGGAUGGGGCCAGAGGAUCGCUUGAGCCUAGGUGUUUGACACCAGCCUAGACAACAUUGUGAGACUCUGUCUCAAAAAUAAUAAAUAACAAAACAAAAUAAAAUAUACAAUGCAUUAUUAUUUAAUGCAGUCAUUAUUCUGUGCAAUAAAUCACUAAAGCUUAUUUUUCCUGUCUAACUGAAACUUUGUACUCUUUGAUGAACUUCUCCGCUUUCCCCAUCCACCCCACUUCCCUGGAUUGUAUUAAAUUAAAUUGUAUUAUAUUGAAUUUACCAGAAUUAAUCACUACAUUAGAAGAAACUCCAGUGGGUAUUCCUAAAAUUAUGGAGAGGUAGAUAGAUUUAAAAGCAAAAGAAAUGCUGCAAUUUCUUCAGAGUUCAUAAGAGAACUUCUAUUGGAGAAAUGGAAAAUUUGAGCUGGCUAAGCCUUGAGACCUCCCAAGACUAAGUUAUAGGAGUUUAGCCUUCUAAACUACCUCAGGGUACAGCCUGGUCUUAAUUUUUAAUUUUUAAUUUAUUUUUAUUUUUAUUUUUGAGACAGAGUCUCACUCUGUCGCCUAGGCCAGAGUUUAGUGGUGCACAAUCUCGGCUCGCUGCAGCCUCCGCCUCCCAGGUUCAAGCAUUUCUCUUGCCUCAGCUUCCCGAGUAGCUGGGAUUACAGGCAUGUGCCACCAUGCCCGGCUAACUUUUGUAUUUUUAGUGGAGAUGGCGUUUCACCAUGUUGGCCAGGCUGGUCUUGAAGUCCUGACCUCAGGUGAUCUGCCCACCUUGGCCUCCCAAAGUGCUAGGAUUACAGGCGCGAGCCACUGUGCCCAGCCUAUUUUUUAUUUUUAUGGGUACCUAGUAGAUGUAUAUAUUAAUGGGGUACAGAAGAUAUUUUGAUAGAGACAUACAAUGUGUAACAAUCAUGUCAGGGUAAAUGGAGUAUCCGUCAGCUCAAGCACUGAUGCUUUCUUCAUGUUUCACACAAUCCGGUUAUACUCUUUUAGUUAUUUUUAAAUGUAUAAUAAAUUGACUGUAGUCACUCCAUUGUCCUAUCAAAUAUUAGAUUUUAUUCUAUCUAACUAUAUUUUUGUACCCAUUAACCAUCGCUCAUUUUCUCCACCCCCAACUACCCUUUCCAGACUCUGGUAGCCAUCAUUCUACUCUAUCUCCACGGGCUCAAUUGUUUUGAGUUUUAGAUUCCACAAAUAAACGAG